GGCAGACGGGUGAGUAACGCGUGGGAACAUACCCUUUUCUACGGAAUAACGCAGGGAAACUUGUGCUAAUACCGUAUGAGCCCUUCGGGGGAAAGAUUUAUCGGGAAAGGAUUGGCCCGCGUUGGAUUAGCUAGUUGGUGGGGUAAAGGCCUACCAAGGCGACGAUCCAUAGCUGGUCUGAGAGGAUGAUCAGCCACAUUGGGACUGAGACACGGCCCAAACUCCUACGGGAGGCAGCAGUGGGGAAUAUUGGACAAUGGGCGCAAGCCUGAUCCAGCCAUGCCGCGUGAGUGAUGAAGGCCCUAGGGUUGUAAAGCUCUUUCACCGGAGAAGAUAAUGACGGUAUCCGGAGAAGAAGCCCCGGCUAACUUCGUGCCAGCAGCCGCGGUAAUACGAAGGGGGCUAGCGUUGUUCGGAAUUACUGGGCGUAAAGCGCACGUAGGCGGACAUUUAAGUCAGGGGUGAAAUCCCGGGGCUCAACCCCGGAACUGCCUUUGAUACUGGGUGCCUUGAGUGUGGAAGAGGUCAGUGGAAUUGCGAGUGUAAAGGUGAAAUUCGUAAAUAUUCGCAGGAACACCAGUGGCGAAAGCGGCUGACUGGUCCAUUACUGACCCUAAGGUGCAAAACCUGGGGGAGCAAACGGGAUUAAAACCCCUGGUAGUCCACGCCGUAAACGAUGAAUGUUAGCCGUCGGGCAGUUUACUGUUCGGUGGCGCAGCU
rnacentral:rRNA from 1 species